CCCAGGGUGACACGACUAUUCCUUAUCUUUUACUUGACAAAGUUUAAGUUGUCAACUUGGCACUUGUGAUUUCUCUCAUCUGCAGGCUACAGAAUAUGCACAAAGUGCCCUGUAUCUCCCUUUGUAUCUCCCAAAAAUCCAGUAGCCACAAGUGUAGGAUGUCUGCCCACAGUUCUCCCACUUCUCCUGUGAUUGUGAUAUCACAGUGAGAAAGAACCUGGGGUGUUAAUGAACAGACCCAAUGUAACAGCACUGAAGCAGCAAGCUACUGCUGCUUUUGUAUUUCUACAGCAAUUUACCCAGAUUUCAGUGGUUGGAAAGACUGAGCAAAGACCUGGACAAGCUGUCUGGAAACAACUCUCAAGAGACGCAGAGUGGUCCAAUGACAGUCACAGAACACUGUCAUCAGAGCUGGAUUCUCAUUUUCAAGGUGCAGAAACACACAGGGAAGACAAGAAGAGGAGAAGGACCCAAACACAGAG
rnacentral:lncRNA from 12 species